rnacentral:lncRNA from 1 species
UCAGGAGGAAGCAACUCCCAGGAAGCAAAGAUACACGGAUUUCUGAAAAAAAAAAAAAAAAAUCCUGCAGGAAAAGACAAGGAGGCACACGUUUUUCAUUAAAUAUGAGGGGGAUGCAAGAAGGACUCUUCCCAAUGGAACUGGGGAACGGCAGAAGGAGCAGAGGCAUCAGAGGGAGGGAGGAAGAAUCUGCCCUUGAAGAGUGGAGAGGCUGUGGUCUCCUGGACCCUUGCCCUGGCACCACUGUGAAAGAUUGCAGCCUUCUGGGAUAGACUUGUGUGGUGUCAUGUCCUGGUCUUCUGCUUCGUAGUUGUGUGAAGUUGUUCAAACAUGGGAGCCUCAGUUUUCUCAUCUAUGCCACAAAAAGCUUCUCCUGGGGUUGCUGUGAAGAUUAAACAGUCCAAAGGCAAAGUCUGCACCACCAGUUGCCACUUCAUGGUUACAUGUCUGUCCUGACUGUCUGCAGUCCUGCACUGUGAUUCUUUGCUGCAUGAUCAAGGAGUUUGCUCUUUGCACUGCCUUGGAGACCAGACAUCCCUUGGGCUCUCCUUCGAGGAUCUAGCUCUAUAAAUAGCGGUAGCAUGAAAUCGGUCGACAGCUGACAGCUCUUCCUCGUCUCUCCUGAAGUCACGUCUGAGGGUUGUCAGCAACGGCAACACACAGAGGAAGCGUCCGAGAUUUAGAAACUUUUAAAAUCUUUACAGCUGUAAUACCUGGCCUGGAGUUUCUGACUCCCUUCUGAGAGGUCUCAAGCUUAUCUUUAUCUUUCUGGAUGGGGUUCACAUACCGUCCCCAUUCUCACUUUCAAUCUACUUCUGCCCCGGUGCUUUACUUCUGGAAAAUAAAAAUCGAAUUCCUGAAAUUUGUG